rnacentral:lncRNA from 1 species
CCCUUUAGACCUCAAGCAUGUCAAUGUGGAUCAAUUUGAUAACCAGGCCCAAAUAUUAAAAUUCUAAAUACACGGUUAGAUUCAGCAUAUUAAAGAACCCCAUUUUUGUUGAAAUCAAACAAAGUUUAAUUUGAACCCCGAUUUGGACCAAGUCCAUAAUCAAAAAUCUAAGUACAUGUUUAGAUUCAGCAUCAAAGAAGUCCAAGAAUUCAACUUUUGUUAAAA